rnacentral:misc_RNA from 1 species
UCUCGGCUUAUCACCGGCAGUCCCCUUAGAGUGCCCAACUGAAUGAUGGCAACUAAGGGCGAGGGUUGCGCUCGUUGCGGGACUUAACCCAACAUCUCACGACACGAGCUGACGACAGCCAUGCAGCACCUGUCACCGGCCAAUUGAAGAGCUCCGUCUCCGGAGCCCCGACCGGGAAGUCAAGGGCUGGUAAGGUUCUUCGCGUUGCCUCGAAUUAAACCACAUACUCCACCGCUUGUGCGGGCCCCCGUCAAUUCCUUUGAGUUUCAGUCUUGCGACCGUACUUCCCAGGCGGAAUACUUAAUGCGUUAGCUGCGGCACCGGCGGUAAACCGCCGACACUUAGUAUUCAUAGUUUAAGGCGUGGACUAC